AUCCCCUAAGCAUGAUGAUUGGGUUUUCGCGCGUCUGUGUGAUAUGUGCCUCCCCUUAAAAA
rnacentral:snoRNA from 1 species